GUAUAGAAAAAUCAUAAGCUAGUUUUUAAUUCUGGAAUACUUGAUGUUUAAACGUUUAUUCUUCUCAAAUUUGUUGGCAGUAAACCCAGUGCGCCGAAAACAGCCAGGUAUCUCUCCUUCAAGGCAAUCUGCCCAUCGUUAUUCAAAGUGCCAGAGGUUUAAAAAGUGUCUUAGCAUCAUCAUAUUUCAGACUGAGCACAGAAACUCAACUGCUGAAGAGUCAACUGGUGGACUGGAAAAAAUAUGGAUCAAAAUAAAUUAGGAAAAAAGAAUCACAAGAUCAUAUCAAUGUAGAGCAAAGCUGAAGACAACAGAAUAAGAAUGAAAAUGAAAAGUAAGUUUAUUUAUUUAUUUAUUUAUUUUUUGAAAAGUAAGUUUAUUUAAAAUACCCUUUCUAUAAAACAAAAUCAUGUCCUUAGGA
rnacentral:lncRNA from 1 species